GCGCGAUUAGCUCAGCGGGAGAGCGCUUCCCUGACACGGAAGAGGUCACUGGUUCAAAUCCAGUAUCGCGCA
rnacentral:tRNA from 2 species